rnacentral:lncRNA from 1 species
AACUUUCGGCCGGUCGCAUCGCUCUCGUCGCGUACACGCGCAAGUGCCGCAUGCACACCACGCAUCCAUUGGUCCCACGUGCACCACUCAGGCACCCUGUCCUUAUCCAGCAAUGCCACGUCCUUAUCCUCACCAACUGCUCAUCCACACAAACCUCAUCUUCUCGCUCGCCUUUCACCUGCCUCGCCUCUGUCUCUCGCUCGCGCCGUUGCAUCCUUGCUCCGGCGAGCCCCACCACUAGCCACGCGAGGAGCUGCAACCGGAGGGCGGAGGAGUUGCUACCGGCCACUCGGAGAGCUCGACCGGCGGGCAGAGGAGCUACAAGCCGGGAACAAAACCGACGACCGCCGUGCUGGAUUCAGCACGCCGGGGUGCUGCAACCGGCAGAUCAAAUAGCUGCAACUACCUUUUGUAUUUGCUGGGACCGGUGAGAAAUUUCGCUGCGACCAUCGACGGUGAGCUUUUUUUGCUGGAACCGGUUUUCUUUUUUGCUGGAACCAUGUUUUUGUUUUGUUGGAAUCAUGUCAAGCAUGCUGGGAGUUUGCAGCUCCGGCAAGAGCAGCAUCUGCUCGCCGUGGAUACGCGCGCAGCUCGUGCUCUGCCCAACAGCACGAUGCGUGCAGCUCUGGCGAGGGGCAGCAUCUACUCGCGUGCAGCCCUUCCCCAACAGAUGACUUGUCGCGGAUGACGAUCUGCAUGCUCCGCUCUACUUGCAGGAGAGAGGGCAACCACCAUCAGAAGAUGCUUCAACCUCGGCGCGGCGGAGCUACAAGUGUAGGUCCGGGAGCUGCAACCAGCCAGACAAAUGAUGGAACCGGCGACGACCGUGUUGUGUCGGCGACGGCGGCGGUCCACCAUUGCUGGAACUAGCUACAUUUUUUGCUGGAACUACCAUUAUUUUUUGCUGGAACUGGAUUUUUUUGUUGCUACAAUCAACUAGUGUGUUUGCUGCUGAGUUUUUUUUUUGCUGGAACCAGCAUUUGUGUUUGCUGGAACUGGCUUUUUUGUUUGCUACAAUCAUCUUUCUCAGAUUUGUACUGCUGAGAUUAUUUUUGCUAGAAACGUCAUCAAUUUUUGGUACCAUCGUAUUCUUGUUUUGCUGGAAUCAUCAUUUUUUUUCAAGGAUCCAACUUGAUGGUGAUGCGGGUAGUUUAUUAUUAUUUUUUUGAACUUUGACGGCGAGCGUCGACGGGGAGCACGGCAGCAACCCGUUGACGACGAGGGCAAACGGGGGACGGCGGACAGAAGCAACGUGACGUGGUGGCGAGGUGCGACUGCCAUGUGCUUGUGUUUUUUUUGUCGGUUCUCGUGCGCGGUGGGAAAGAAGGGGAUGGGCCGGGCAGGAUCAGACGGCUGACAGGGGCAGAAUCGUACGGCUCGCGGCUGACCGGCCCAAAUUUGGGCCGGUGCGCCGGCGCCUAUCAUCGCCCGAAUAAACACUUGUAUACGGCGCGCCGGCCGAACUUUCGGCCGGUCGCAUCGCUCUCGUCGCGUACACGCGCAAGUGCCGCAUGCACAUCACGCAUCCAUUGGUCCCACGUGCACCACUCAGGCACCCUGUCCUUAUCCAGCAAUGCCACGUCCUUAUCCUCACCAACUGCUCAUCCACACAAACCUCAUCUUCUCGCUCGCCUUUCACCUGCCUCGCCUCUGUCUCUCGCUCGCGCCGUUGCAUCCUUGCUCCUGCGAGCCCCACCACUAGCCACGCGAGGAGCUGCAACCGGAGGGCGGAGGAGUUGCUACCGGCCACUCGGAGAGCUCGACCGGCGGGCAGAGGAGCUACAAGCCGGGAACAAAACCGACGACCGCCGUGCUGGAUUCAGCACGCCAGGGUGCUGCAACCGGCAGAUCAAAAAUAGCUGCAACUACCUUUUGUAUUUGCUGGGACCGGUGAGAAAUUUCGCUGCGACCAUCGACGGUGAGCUUUUUUUGCUGGAACCGGUUUUCUUUUUUGCUGGAACCAUGUUUUUGUUUUGUUGGAAUCAUGUCAAGCAUGCUGGGAGUUUGCAGCUCCGGCAAGAGCAGCAUCUGCUCGCCGUGGAUACGCGCGCAGCUCGUGCUCUGCCCAACAGCACGAUGCGUGCAGCUCUGGCGAGGGGCAGCAUCUACUCGUGUGCAGCCCUUCCCCAACAGAUGACUUGUCGCGGAUGACGAUCUGCGUGCUCCGCUCUACUUGCAGGAGAGAGGGCAACCACCAUCAGAAGAUGCUUCAACCUCGGCGCGGCGGAGCUACAAGUGUAGGUCCGGGAGCUGCAACCAGCCAGACAAAUGAUGGAACCGGCGACGACCGUGUUGUGUCGGCGACGGCGGCGGUCCACCAUUGCUGGAACUAGCUACAUUUUUUGCUGGAACUACCAUUAUUUUUUGCUGGAACUGGAUUUUUUUGUUGCUACAAUCAACUAGUGUGUUUGCUGCUGAGUUUUUUUUUUGCUGGAACCAGCAUUUGUGUUUGCUGGAACUGGCUUUUUUGUUUGCUACAAUCAUCUUUCUCAGAUUUGUACUGCUGAGAUUAUUUUUGCUAGAAACGUCAUCAAUUUUUGGUACCAUCGUAUUCUUGUUUUGCUGGAAUCAUCAUUUUUUUUCAAGGAUCCAACUUGAUGGUGAUGCGGGUAGUUUAUUAUUAUUUUUUUGAACUUUGACGGCGAGCGUCGACGGGGAGCACGGCAGCAACCCGUUGACGACGAGGGCAAACGGGGG